ACAUGAGUAAUUCUGAAGCUCCUGUGGGUUCCAAGAGAAAAUCUCGUGUCUCUGAUAAAGAUACACCUUCGACUAAUCAUGUCAAGAGACACCCAGUUCCAGUUAAGGAACCUGUUAUGGCUGAGUUAGCUCCAGAAUGUGCAGCUGGUAUUAUAGUCAAAUUCAGAGAUGUGACUGCUGCUGCUUACAGAACCAAAUCUGGGAUCCAAAAAACCCCUCUAGUUAAAUCUGAGGCUUUAAGCGCCAUCUUGGGAUGCGAGCUGUACUUAAAAAAAGAAUAUGAGCUGAGGACAGGCAGUUUCAAAGAGCGAGGAGCCCGUAAUGCCCUAUUAAAACUCACAGAUGAGGAACGAAAGAAGGGCGUUAUUGCAGCAUCAGCUGGUAAUCAUGCUCUGGCUCUAGCUUAUCAUGGUGGACUCCUGGACGUCACUGUGACGGUGGUUAUGCCUGUGGUUGCUCCGAUUAUGAAGAUUUCACAGUGCCAAGAGAUGAAGGCCAAUGUUAUUGUUCAUGGUGCAAGUAUUGCUGAGGCCAAGGAUCACGCUAUGACUAUAGUAGAGAAAAGCGGUCAAAUCUACAUAAAUGGGUACGACCACCCCGACAUUAUAUCAGGACAAGGAACCAUAGGUCUGGAGAUUUGCAGUCAGGUGGAGGAUGUGGACGCUAUUAUAGUCCCAGUGGGGGGAGGGGGUCUUAUUGCUGGAGUUGCUGUGGCUGCUAAAAACAUGAACCCUGACGUUAAGAUCAUCGGUGUUGAGGCGGUCAGAUGUAAGAGUUUCACAGAAGCACUGAAAGCAGGAAAGCCAGUGCGCGCAGCAACUCACGUCUCGUUAGCUGACGGUCUGGCUGUGCCCACUGUGGGUCUCAACGCGUUCGUCACCGCACAGCCUCUAGUCGACAAAGUAGUUACAGUUAGUGAGAAAGCGAUAGCACUAGCAAUAUUGCGACUGAUAGAGAUAGAAAAAGCAGUAGUUGAGGGAAGUGGUGUUGUGGGACUAGCUGCUCUCAUGGAUGGACUACUCCCUGAACUGGCAGGAAAGAAAGUAGUUACAAUCCUGUGCGGAGGUAAUAUAGACACUACGGUGCUAGGAAGAUGUCUGGAGCGAGGACUAGCUGCUGACGGCAGGUUGCUCUCUUUCACCGUCGUGGUAAAGGAUGCUCCGGGAGGAAUGAACAGUCUUACUCAGAUGCUCACUGACUCCGGCGCCAGUAUAAAAGAUAUUCUACACGAGCGAGCGUGGCUACUAGAAGACGUGUUUGCAGUUAGGGUACGAUGUAUGGUAGAGACGAGAAACUCUGAACACACUGAGCAUGUGAAGAGUAUGCUAGCCUCUAACUUCAGACACGUCGAGUUUAUCGGCAUGUGCGACCAUUCGACUGACACUCCGAACGGACCAUGAGAGGGAGAUAAACUAGUUGUCAUGGUUACCAGCUAGUUACCAUGGUUACCAGGACGACAAUCAGUUGUAGCAAGGCACCUGGAUUUGCUACAAUUAGAAUAACCUACCAGAGACCCUCAACUCUACUUUUUAGGACUUUCGACUGUUGUUUCAGCUUACUUCUCACCUGGCAACCAUGUUAUUGGUUACCAUGGUAUAAGUUAGCUGCGAUUUCAAUUUAAGCGCUUCAAGUGCGUAUUUAUUCACCCUUUUAUUUACUCUACAUUACAUGGAUUUUACUUAUUCGAUAUCAGUUUGAAGUCGGUAGUUUUUAGUUUAAAUCGAAUUUAACUUUAAGAUAUUGAGACAUUGGUAUGUUUCGUCAUUCGUACACUUUUUGCGAUGAAAGUGCUUCGAAUUGACAGUGAUGCCUUGACAAAUAAAUAUCUCAUAAUCCAUUUAAUAUCAUAAUAAUAACUAGAUUUAUUUUUGUUUAGUUUUCUCAGCUCUAUACUCUAGGUGUAAAUUACGAUUUAAAUUAUUACAUAUUGAGAUUUAUUAGGAUUUUAGGAUGUGUACACGUUUCUAGUACCCUUGUUUUGAUUUGAUUCAUGAUUGUAUAUAA